GUGCUUGCUUUAACAGCACAUAUACUAAAAUUGAAACUAUACAGAGAAGAUUAGCAUGGCCCCUGUGCAAGGAUGGCAUACAAAUUUGUGAAGCAUUCCAUAUUUCU